GACGAACGCUGGCGGCGUGCUUAACACAUGCAAGUCGAACGGUGAAGCGCCUUCCUUUUUGGUGGGUGUGGAUGAGUGGCGAACGGGUGAGUAACACGUGAGUAACCUGCCCCCUUCUUCUGGAUAACCGCAUGAAAGUGUGGCUAAUACGGGAUAUUCUGGGUCUGUCGCAUGAUGGGUCUGGGAAAGAUAUUGUUUCGGUGGGGGAUGGGCUCGCGGCCUAUCAGCUUGUUGGUGGGGUGAUGGCCUACCAAGGCGGUGACGGGUAGCCGGCCUGAGAGGGUGGACGGUCACACUGGGACUGAGACACGGCCCAGACUCCUACGGGAGGCAGCAGUGGGGAAUAUUGCACAAUGGGAGCAAGCCUGAUGCAGCGACGCCGCGUGAGGGAUGGAGGCCUUCGGGUUGUGAACCUCUUUCGCCAGUGAAGCAGGCCUGCCUCGUUUGUGGGUGGGUUGACGGUAGCUGGAUAAGAAGCGCCGGCUAACUACGU
rnacentral:rRNA from 1 species